rnacentral:rRNA from 1 species
UACGUAGGGUGCAAGCGUUGCCCCGGAUUUAUUGGGCGUAAAGGGCGCGUAGGCGGUCACGCACGUCCGUUGUGAAAUCGCUCGGCUCAACUGGGCGGGGUCAGCGGGAUACGGUGUGGCUGGAGCAAGGCUAGGGGGCAAUGGAAAUUCCCGGUGGUAGUGGUGGAAUGCGUAGAUAUCGGGAGGAACACCAGUGGCGAAGG